AUGUUCAUAGCUCAGUUGGUAGAGCAUGAGAUUCUUAAUCUCAGGGUAGCCUUUAAGUAGCCCUUAAGAGCAUC